GACCCAGUUCUGUUGCCAAGAUUGUAAUUCAACAGAGGCCAAAUACAAAGAGUAAAGCCGAUUAUUGCUACCGAUUAUAAUUUAGUAAGAUUUAACAACAUUUUGACCCAAAUUUAAAUACUGCAAAAUACAUUUUUCACCAUGUUAUAUUUAAUAAAACAAGGCCGCUAUAUAAAAAAGUUUCAGUUAUCAACUUAAGAUACAUAAUUGUAAUCAGAAAUUUAUUUUGGAGAGUUUACUGCAUUUGCAGGCAUUUCGGAAUAAUACUGAAUUCCGCGACGCUUCGUAAAUUCAAAUUGCAAACAAUGUGAAAAUGCACAAAAGAAGUUUGCCGGUGUCUUUGCAUUUUAUCUGAAUCAGUGCAUUUUAAUCGCCGUACGCUGUGCUUCCGAAAUGUAUGUUAUAAAUGCUUCCAUCAUGUAAGCAAUCAGUGUAUCGAAAAGGGAAAAAAGCAUGCACACACACAUACACACAGAUUUGCACACGCUGCUGUGACUUACACACAUCUGCGAGGACGUCAGCGUCCGGAGGCAGCGCUUCCCACAGGCCUCUUUUUUCUUGCUGCGGAGAGAAAGAGAGAGAGGGGCUGCGAGUCCGUCCCGUUCCGUUAUCCCGUCUGGUCUCCAAUUCCAGUUUCUCCUCUCGGCAGGCCAGCAUAGGGCUCUGGUUAGGCUCUCCGGCUGUUCGGCUGGGCCUCUGGAACAAUAGGAGGCCUCCGGGGCGUCUGGGAGGCGUGUGUGAACACCGUCUGUGGACCGGAGCGCGUCUCGCUGAAUGGUGGAGCUGUCUGUCUGUCCGUGGGACUGUCUCUCUCUCGGGUCUAGACUGAGGGGGGCUGGGUGGACUCGGGAAGAUCACGUGUGCCAAGCCCAUGACAAAAGCCUCUUUUAUGAAGAGCGUAUGCAGAUAGAGCUGCUGCUUUUGUGCACCGACCCCAAGCUCGGAUGGAGAGGAGGAGGGAGAGAGAAAGAGAAAGAGAGAGUUAGAUGUAGAUGCUCUGAGAGCUUGUGACUGGUGUGAAAUUGGUA
ensembl:lncRNA